UAUUUUGAUUGUUUUAUGUGGUCUUUUAUCUUACACUUAUUACAUAAUACCCUCAUCUUAUUUGACUCCACAGAAUGGGAGGAGGAGCCUUAAAAACAGCACAAACCAUUGAUCAGCUGCUGCUUAUUAGGAUUGAUGAGACAGUGCAUGACCUGACCCCUCAUGAAGACCCUACAGACGAGCCCUUGCCCAGCCUUGAAUUGCCCAAUUUCCCAGGACAUCUGAAGGUUGAAAGUGAAGAUGACAUCAUUGGUGUUCAAGCUGUUGUUAUUUAUGAGAACAGCCUGAGUCAACUACUUAACUUUUUGAAACUGCCUGUGGAGAAGUGUUCAGGCAUUCUCGGUACAGGUCAAAUGUGUGACAGCACUGCACCAUUUCAUGUAAACGUUACAGCAAGAGGGACAGCUAUGAGAGCAGAAUGGAUCUGCUCCAAUGGACACAGCCUGUGGACUUGGAAUACCCAGCCCAAGCUAAAGUUUGGCUGAUGUUUUCCUUCUGUCAACCAACAUCUUGUUGGCAGGAAACAGCUAUGCAAAGGUUGCGCUCCUGUUUAAAUGUAUGAACCUAGGUAUGGUGAACCCAAACACAUUCAACACCAUCCAACACCAUCCAGGACACAUACUGUAUACACUGUGAAAGAAUUCUGGACAGAGAAGAGAUCUGAGGCCAUCAUUCGCCUUCAAGGAAAAGAAGUUGUGCUUUUAGGAGAUAGACGGAAUAACCCUCCUGGACACUGAGCACAAUACUGCAGUUAUACCACUAUGGAGCACGAGACCAAGGAAAUCAUUCACCCUAGCUACCAUAGACAAGCGACAAACUUCUUGGAACUCCAACAUAAUGGAAAAAGAGGCUUUCAUCCAGACCAUAGACAAGCUUUCAGUGGAAAUCAAAAUUGUAAUUAUAUUAAAAUGUAAAAAAAAAAUGUAAUUGUAUUAUUUGUUCUUGUGUUUAUCUCUUCAAGGCUGCUAAAGUGAAAGGACAGACCAUUCUCCUCAACUGGUUGAAAGACAUUGUCAGCCAUUUCUGGUGGUGCUGCAAGAUGGCUGACACAACCGAACAGUUUCUUGCACUUUACCUUGCACACGUCUGCAAUAUUCACAGCUGGGCAGUGGGAAGCUGCCAACAUGGGCAUCUGGAAGAUGUUCAUGAGAAACAGUGGAUUCAGAGAGGCUCCAAAGCCCACAAAGCAUUACUGGACAUUAUUCUCAACAAGCGUUGGCAGAGGAAUAUUAACAAAUAUCUGCAAUUCAGAUCAACAGCAGAACUGGAGUCAUUCCAAAACCACAUACUCAUGUAUGCAAGCAAGCGACAUGCGUUCACUCCCCCUGUGUAUGAGGCAAGAGUUCUUCUGCCAGCUCUAGACUACAAUUACCAUCGCAAUCAACCAACAAUGGAAAAAUUUAGAGGGCAA